UUAUAAAAAUGCUUUUACAAUAAAUUAAAAAAAAGAAGAUCACAUAUAAACGCGAAUUGAUUUGGAAAUGAAAAGAUCCCUAACGAGAAUUGAAUCAAAAUCCAACCAUAUUUGGUUAUCAAACCAAAUUAAAGAUUUUCUUCCCAGUUUUACUUCCCUUCAGUUGUCUCCUCUGGUCUCUGUGCACCUUUCCUUCCCAUCAAUGAAAGCUUCUUCGGUUCUUCCCAAUUUCGUCGUCGGAAAAUUGCGUAAGCACUCGUCUCACUUUGGCGUUUGGAAACAAUAACCACUCUCCCUUUUCUUUGUGGGUGCAGGCGCAAUCCUUAUGGAGUUGACUGAGGUGAGUUAUGCGACUUCAUUUAAUUCUAACUUUUACUUGGUUUUGUAGAAACGAAAUACUGAUUUUUUUUCUCAAUUAUAAUUUUAUUUUCUUUUGUAAAUACCCAACUGGGUAUACAAUGUAUUUCAAUGCAAAUGACUCUUCAGUCUUCACAGAGUGAUGUACGCUUGCUUGUAAGACAUUCGCUACUCACCAAUUACAUGUGAUGAUUUUAUUAUCUUCUUUGAUUGUGGAAAAUCUCUCUAAUACUGAACAAAUUGGAAGUGUUCUUUUACUUCUGUUGCCCCUUUUCUUAUUUUCUUGUGUGUUUCUUUUAUGAAGAGGAUUUUUUUUUUUUUUCUAACCUGUUGGAGACAAAUGGGUGGAUCUGGCUAACCUUCAGCAGAUAUGCAGAUGUUGAUACAGCAUUGCACUCAGAAGAGUAUGCUCUUUUCAAAGGUUUUACUGGGUUCUUGUAAAAAUAGCUUCUGCAAUGAUCGUCUUGUGUCCGCAGCCCCCAAACUACAUAGAGCAUCUUAUAUAACUUCGAAGUACAGAACUUGCAAAAGAUUUUCUGUUAUGUCUGGUGAUGUUCCAAGGAGCUUUCCUAGUGGCGAUGCCACUACACACCGUGAUCCUAGGAGUUACGAAGUUGUGGUUGCUGCGACUCAUGAUAUGGGCAUUGGGAAGGAUGGGAAGUUACCAUGGAGCUUACCAUCUGACCUUAAAUUUUUCAAGGAGCUUACAUUGAGCACGUCAAAUCCUGGGAAAAAGAAUGCGGUGAUAAUGGGUAGGAAAACAUGGGAGAGCAUUCCUUUCAGGUACAGACCCCUACCGGGACGUUUGAAUGUUGUCCUGACUCGUUCUGGAAGUUUUGACAUCACAGCUGCAAAAAAUGUUGUAAUAUGUGGAAGCAUUCCAUCAGCUCUGGAAUUACUGGCAGAAGCACCUUACUCUUUCUCAAUUGAGAGGGUGUUUGUCAUAGGAGGUGGUCAGAUAUUGAGGGAAACAAUUAACGCACCAGGAUGUGAUGCCAUCCACAUUACUGAAAUUGAGACAAGCAUUGAAUGUGACACCUUCAUUCCAGCUAUUGAUUCUUCUUUAUUUCACCUUUGGUACUCAUCUCUACCAUUAGUGGAAAACAAUAUUCGAUAUUCUUUUGUGACUUAUGUUCGUGUAAAGAAUUCAGAAAAUGGAACUCCUUUUAAAAGCACCGCAGCAAAGUAUAAUGGUAAUCUAAAUUCCACCAAGUUUGAGACAAAGAAUUUUUCCUUUCUUCCAAAGGUUAUUUUUGAGAAACAUGAUGAGUAUAUGUAUCUAAGACUGGUUGAAGAAAUUAUUUCAAGUGGAAUCCUGAAAGAUGACAGGACAGGGACUGGUACCCUAUCAAAAUUUGGGUGUCAGAUGCGUUACAAUCUGCGCAGAUCUUUUCCACUCCUUACAACCAAGAGAGUGUUUUGGAGAGGAGUUGUUGAAGAACUUUUAUGGUUUAUUAGUGGUUCAACAAAUGCAAAGGUUCUACAGAAGAAAAAUGUUCACAUCUGGGAUGGAAAUGGAUCGAGAGACUACCUUCACAGUAUUGGCCUGAAAGAUAGAGAACAGGGCGACUUAGGACCCAUAUAUGGCUUCCAAUGGAGACACUUCGGUGCUAGAUAUACAGACAUGCAUGCUGACUACACAGGGCAAGGGUUUGAUCAACUAGAAGAUGUUGUUGACAAGAUCAAGAAUAGACCAGAUGACAGACGCAUUAUCCUCGCAGCAUGGAAUCCGUCAGAUCUCAAAUUAAUGGCACUCCCACCUUGUCACAUGUUUGCACAGGUCUUGUUCCUGGUGAUUUUAUCCAUGUGAUUGGAGAUGCUCACAUUUAUAGAACUCAUAUCGGGCCUCUGCAGAAGCAGCUACAGAAGCUUCCUAGACCUUUUCCAAUAUAUACUGCUAUAUGGAGACCAAAAAUCCGUAUCUUCCCUUGGUUUAAAACUGAUCAUCAAACUACAGUCCUUUGCAGUUGCAGCUAUUAAAUAAUCCUUUACCAUCUUCAAGCUCUCAUCCAAAGGAAUGGAAUGCAAGGAGGCAUACCUAGGUUGAAGUCUUGCUUCAUCCAAUUCACUACAUACCAUGCAAGGCUGAGAAAUAAUGUUAUAAUAAGCAUGAAUUGCCCCUUCAAUGUCAAAAUUAUCAAGCUUUUGGACUUCAAGAAGCCGAUCCAGUACUCGAGAACUAUAGACUGUCUCAGCCACAAGCUCUAUGAAACUCCUUGUACGCAAACCAUCAUCUGCCUGGAUGAGUCCCUUCAGUGCAUCUUCAAAAGCCUUUUCAAUCACACAACUAGUUUUAUUUGUGCCACCACCCAAGCCCCCAAAUAUAAUAGAUCCAUUUAAGAAUACGCGGAAAUUGUUCUGCGGGGUGUUGUAAAGAUCAUUGAUAGCUUUAUGUAUUCUUUCCUUGGAACCAGAGAAAAUAUCCAAUGGAUCAUAUUGACUUAACUCCGA